rnacentral:tRNA from 1 species
GCGGUGGUGGUUCAGUGGUAGAAUUCUCACCUUCCAUGCAGGAGACCUGGGUUCGAUUCCCAGUCAGGGUA